GCGGCGGACGGGUGAGUAAUGCCUAGGAAUCUGCCUGGUAGUGGGGGACAACGUUUCGAAAGGAACGCUAAUACCGCAUACGUCCUACGGGAGAAAGCGGGGGACCUUCGGGCCUUGCGCUAUCAGAUGAGCCUAGGUCGGAUUAGCUAGUAGGUGAGGUAAUGGCUCACCUAGGCGACGAUCCGUAACUGGUCUGAGAGGAUGAUCAGUCACACUGGAACUGAGACACGGUCCAGACUCCUACGGGAGGCAGCAGUGGGGAAUAUUGGACAAUGGGCGAAAGCCUGAUCCAGCCAUGCCGCGUGUGUGAAGAAGGUCUUCGGAUUGUAAAGCACUUUAAGUUGGGAGGAAGGGCAGUAAGCUAAUACCUUGCUGUUUUGACGUUACCGACAGAAUAAGCACCGGCUAACUCUGUGCCAGCAGCCGCGGUAAUACAGAGGGUGCAAGCGUUAAUCGGAAUUACUGGGCGUAAAGCGCGCGUAGGUGGUUCGUUAAGUUGGA
rnacentral:rRNA from 1 species